CCCGUCCUUCCCUAAAAUAAUCCCAAAUCACCUCCUCCAAGCCCAGCCUUUGCUCCAGCUUCCAGGAGACUCCAGAACGGCAACUUUAUAGCCCAAAACUCCAUAAAAACAGAGCCGGAAUUACCUCGUUCUCCUGAGGAAACAAUUCCAGGUUUUAUCUCAGCAGAAAAGGAACGGGGAGCAGGAUUUUGGGGCUGCGAUAAGGAGCUGGAGACUUCCCCAGCUUUCCUCUCAAGAAAAGGACCGGGGUAAAGUUUAAGGAAUGGGAAGGGCCCUGGCGUGGCCGCUUCCCACUCCCGGCUCCCCGGCACGGCUCUAAUCCCAGGACCCACAGGCGGCCGCUGAGCGCGGGAUCCGAGUGGAAUGUGGAAAAUGGAGCUGGCAGCAGCAGCAGCAGGAGGAGGAGGCACUGCCAGGGCUCCCUGGAAUUCGAGCGUCCUGCUGGCUCCUCCCUGCGAUGAGGAGGAUGUGGAAUUGCUGGAGCGAAUCCAGAGGAGGCCACGGGGGUGCUCUGGGAGCUGGAGCUGCUCUGGAGCCAGCCUGGGAGAGCUGGGAAUGUUCCCCUGGAGGGGAAAAGGCUCCAGGGAGAGCUCAGAGCCCCUCCAGGGC